rnacentral:lncRNA from 10 species
AAACUUUAAUUGUGGAAAUGAAUCAUCUGGACGCCUGGGGACCUUGUUACAAUGCAGAUUCAGAUUCAGUAGGUCUGGGUGGGGCCUGGCCUCCUGCAUUUGUAACAAACUCCCCAGUGAUGCCUGUGCUGUUGGUCCAGCACCACGUUUUGGUUAGGAAGGGAAGUGCUAUGGUUUGAAUGUGUCUUCUCCAAAAUUCAUGUUAAAAUUUAAUCCCCAGUGCAACAGUAUUGAGGUGAGGCCUACAGGAGGUGGUUAAGUCAUGGGGGCUCAGCCCUCAUAUGGAUGAGAUUCAUAGCCUUAUAAAAGGGCUGGAGGGAACUAGCUGGGUCCUUUUGCCCUUCUGCCUUCUCCAUGUGAGGACACAGCAUUCAUCCCCUCUAAACGAUGCAGCAACGAGGGAUGGUGAUGUUGGAAGCAGAGACAGCUGCUUUCACCAGACACUGAACUUGCCGAUGCCUUGAUCUUGGACUUCGCAGCCUUCAGAACCGUGAGAUAAAUUCCUAUGACUUAUCAAUCACCCAGUCUGUGGUAUUUUUUUAUAGCAGCACAAACAGACUAACACAAGAGGUGGAUAGGAUUUGCGAGCAUGGACCUUGGAGGUUUGUGGCCUCAAUUUAAGCAUGGAUGAAUUUCAUAAACAUUGGACAAAAGAAUCCAGACACAAAAUAGUGGUUGCCUUUGGGCAAUAUAGAAGGGUGCAAGUGGAAGUAGCCUCAAGAAGUUUUCUGGGGUGCUGGCCCUCACCAGAUGCCAGCACUUUGACACUGGACUUCUCAGCCUCCAGAACGCCCAUGGCCCUGUCUAAUCAUGAGACAUCAGACAGAUCCCAACCGAGGGAUAUUCUACAAAAUAUUCGACCAAUACUCCUCAAAAAUUUCAAGACCAUCAAAAACAAGAAAAGCCUAAGAAACUGUCACAGCCAAGAAGGGCCUAAGGAGACAUGAUGGCUAAAUGUCAUGUGGGUUCUUGGAUGGGACCUUGGAACAGAAAAAGAAUGUUAGGAAAAAACUAAAGUAGUCUGAAUAAAGUAUGGACUUUAGUUAAUAGUAAUGUCUCAACAUUGAUUAAUUGUGACAAAUUUGCGAUGCUAAUGUGAGAUGUUAAUAAUUGGGGGAAAUGGGUGUGGAGUAUAUGGGAAACUCUCUGUACCAUCUUUGCAAUUUCUCUAUAUAUCUAAAGCUAUUCUAAAAUUUAAAAGUUUUCUCAGCGGCUGUUUAGCUUAAUCGGUUAAAGCAUGGUGCUGAUAAAAUUUUAAAGUUUAUUAUAAAGAAAAAACAUUGAUCCAUGGAAUCCACCCCCGGUCCCCUCAGGGGUUCAAAUUUAACUAGUCCAGAAUUUGGCCUUGGCUUUGGGCUAUUAUAGGCAGCCAGGGUUAAGAACCAUACCUUCAGUGUUAAUCAAAGCC